GCCAGGCGCAGUGGUGCAUGCCUGUAAUCCCAGCGGCUUGGGAGGCUGAGACAGAAGGAUUGCAAGUUCAAAGCCAGCCUCAGCAAAAGUGAGGUGCUAAGCAACUCAGUGAGCCCCUGUCUCUA
rnacentral:sRNA from 1 species